rnacentral:rRNA from 1 species
GAUGAACGCUGGCGGCGUGCCUAAUACAUGCAAGUCGAGCGAACGUACGAGAAGCUUGCUUCUCUGCUGUUAGCGGCGUACGGGUGAGUAACACGUGGAUAACCUACCUAUAAGACUGGGAUAACUUCGUGAAACCGGAGCUAAUACCGGAUGAUAUUUUGAACCGCAUGGUUCAAAAGUGAAAGACGGUCUUGCUGUCACUUAUAGAUGGAUCCGCGCUGCAUUAGAUAGUUGGUAAGGUAACGGCUUACCAAGGCAACGAUGCAUAGCCGACCUGAGAGGGUGAUCGGCCACACUGGAACUGAGACACGGUCCAGACGACUAAGGGAGGAAGCAGUAGGGAAUGUUGCGCAAUGGGCGAAAGCCUGACGGAGCAACGCCGCGUGAGUGAUGAAGGUCUUCGGAUAGUAAAACACUGUUAUUAGGGAAGAACAUAUGUGUAAGUAACUGUGCACAGCUUGACGGUACCAAAUCAGAAAGCCACGGCUAACUAAGUG